rnacentral:rRNA from 1 species
GACGAACGCUGGCGGCGUGCCUAACACAUGCAAGUCGAACGGGGACAUUUUUGUAGCAAUAUGGAGAUGUCUUAGUGGCGGACGGGUGAGUAACGCGUGAGCAAUCUGCCUUUCAGAGGGGGAUAACGACGGGAAACUGUCGCUAAUACCGCAUGACGUACCGGAUGGGCAUCCAUCUGGUAUCAAAGGAGCAAUCCGCUGAGAGAUGAGCUCGCGUCCGAUUAGAUAGUUGGCGGGGUAACGGCCCACCAAGUCUGCGAUCGGUAGCCGGACUGAGAGGUUGAACGGCCACAUUGGGACUGAGAUACGGCCCAGACUCCUACGGGAGGCAGCAGUGGGGAAUAUUGGGCAAUGGGCGAAAGCCUGACCCAGCAACGCCGCGUGAAGGAAGAAGGCCUUCGGGUUGUAAACUUCUUUGACGAGGGACGAAAUAUGACGGUACCUCGAAAACAAGCCACGGCUAACUACGUG